UGCUAUGGCAAAUGGUGUUGGUGCGGGCUCGGGGUGCACUGAGCCCAUGCGUCUUCUGGGGGGAGUUCAUAGAACGGCUUGGGUUGGAAGGGACCCGAAGGAUCAAAAAUACAUAAAUAAAUGAAUAAGUAAAUAACUCCAGUUCUUCUAAUAGGAGAAGUGAUGGCAAUAAAGACAUUCUUUCUUCCCUCCAAGGAAGUGGGCACCCUCAACAUGAGAUGCCCCCCAACACACACACUGCAAUCUCUGGCUUAAAGUCAUGUUAAAAUCUCAAUUUUUCUCACAUGUUCAGACUUUUUUGCUUGAACAGUGAUGGGCACAUCACCACACAGCAGACUGGUCCUGGAGCACAGAGCUGUGUGUUUCAGGCUCAUGGCAGAUCUCUGCUGCUCCAAUAGCCCACACUGGAACAGACGUAUGCUUUCUCUUCAAGCCUGUUGGCCCAAAAAUGAAUAUAUAUAAAUAAAUAAAUGACAUUCUUAAUUGAUUUUGGUACUGCUAACUUGCUUUAAUUUUGCCCAGAGAGGUUGUGGAUGCCCCAGUCUCUGGAUGGGGCUCUGGGCAGCCUGAUUCAGUGGUUGGCAGCGCUGCCCUUGGCAAGCAGCUUGGAGCUGAUGAUCUGUAAGGUCCCCUCCGACCAAAGCCAUUCUGUGGUUCUGUGAUUAAUUUGUCUUCUGCCCUUUUCGAGUGCGUACACUUCUCGGAUGCAUUGGGGCCCAUUGGCUCACUCUACCUUUUACGUCUUGCUGCCCUUCUGGGAAGCCACAGCCCAAUGCCGUCUCCAAUAAUUCCUACUUUUUCUCCCACGGCAAAGCUCUGCUUCAAGCAGCAGUGCUAACUUACAGUAGGUGUCCUUGAGAUAAUACUGACUGAUGCUGAGCUUUCUCCCCAAACCAGCCUGCUUUGUUCUUUGAUUAAGGUGCCUUGUAGCUGUAACUGGAAACCAAGUCAAUAGGAAAAAUUCUGCUCUCUGGACCAGUGACACUAAUUGUAAUCCAUUGCAUCAUUUCACCCAGACCUGCAAUUCUCUGUUGAUCUUCCAGGUCCUUGCCUUAAUAGUUGCUGUUUGCAGAGUUCAGCUGCUCGGAGUGUUUACUGAGUAUUUGCUCACCAGCUGUCUGACCCCUUCCAUCCACUGCCGGUGUAAAGAGGGUUUCAUCGGAUCCCACUAAAACCCAGGAGCUUAUUUUAAGACCGUAGACUCUAUGAGGCCCCUGGAGCAUUUGUGUUUCUUAUCCUUGUGCAUCACGCAGUUCCACAUUCACUGAGGUACUCUCCUUGUUAAGCUUCUAAAAGGCUUUCAAAUUAACCAUAUGCAGGACUAUACAGGACACAGAUAAGUCACAAAGCAUCUUUUCUGCUUUGUAUGCUCUUGACUAUGGGUAUCGAUCCGUAAGCAUUGCUCAAUGCUUGGCUUUAACCCAAACAUAUACAUAUAUUUAAUUGCAGCUUUUAAACAUUAAUAGACUUUGUUUGUUAGGGCAGAGGACCGUGCAGCCAUGAUAAAGGAGACAUUUUAGUACUGUAAGAUUGAUUGAGACUGCAGCAGUUUCACUGCUGACAGCAGUUUGUAUAGGAAGAUGGAUUGUAUGUAUCCAGUGAUUCAGUCUCCCUAUGAGGAUUUCUCAUGUUCAGAAAUCAUGGUCAGAGCCACAGCUCUAAGAUUUCUUUUAAAUCCAGAUUCAAAAUAAACGUUCUAAUUUUGCCAACAUAGCGUCCCUCAGUUGAAGACUGCAGAGUGAAAUACAGGUAAGCAAGAGAUCUGUGAGUGGGAAGUUCACGAGUCAGCCUGAAAUUUAACAGAUAGAGACCUCAAGGUCUAAAUAAUUACAAGGACAAGCAAAGAAAGGAUGAUAAACGUGCAUUUAGUGCUCUAAAAAUUGAGUGGGACACCAUUAGAUCCCCUGGAUCCACGGGCUCAAACCCAGCAAAAGCACUUUCAGGCCUUUGUUCCUAUGAAGUAGACAAAUUACUUUCCAGGUGGCUUUCUGUGUUGUCAGAUUUCAGAAAAUACCCUGACAUUCCAGCUGGUUAGGGAGCCGGAGCCCACUUGGUGUGGUCAUGCUGCCCUGCUGCUGAAGAGUAAGUUGUCUUGCUGGGAUUAUUGGCAUGUAUCACCCUUCAUUAUUAAAAUGAGGUCUUUAUAAACACUUUCAGUCUGAGGGAUUCCUGGGACCAUAAACAAGUUGCAGGGAGCAGAGAUACAGGAUGUGCAUUUGUGUGUCCUUCAUAACAACAGCAAGUAUAAAGGGAAAUCGACAGCCAUUAAUCAUUCAGUGUGUAGAUCUUCGAGAUGUAAAGGACUGACCUUCCUGUUGUAGUUUCCCUUUAUAUGUGAUCUAGGAGCUUAUCAGAAGGGGAGAGAUGUGAGGUCCUCAGAGCUCACCUGGAUUUACCUGAAUAGGUGAAGUGUUGCUGCCUCCAAACACCACAUUAUGUCUGCUGUCCCAAUUAAACCAGUGUGAAAUACCUGUCCAUCUACAACACAUCUCCUGAAUCCCUCCUGAAGUCGCCCUAACUGCCUAAAUUCCUGUGGUGUUGAGGAGUUUAGAACUGCCCAGCAUUGAACAUACACAUGGACAACGAAUAACAUCUCUUUACUGGAUUAUACAAAAUAAAAACAAACCCCUGGCAUUUCCACAGCUGCCUAAGAGGAGAAAGGAGCCUGAGAAAAGGCAGUUUGUAGGUCACCAGCUGUGAUAGUUUUUCUUCUGGAGUAUGGAGUAAGUGAAGACAACACUGAACUGAGCAGACCCUGGGUUUCUAUCCUAGAAGGUAAAAAAAUCCUUAAGAAAUGCUGUCUGCCACCACCUAGUGGAAAAUACCACUUCAGCUUUCUUUGACCUACAUGGAUUUUUAGUUGAUCUUGUGGACAGUCCUGACUGGAUUGCUGUUUUUUUUCCCACCCCCAUAGUGCUAUAUAGAAUUAGAGCUUGCAAAAAAAUUCAUUCCAAGAAGUAUUUAAAAACUUAACGACGUACUUCCUGAUCUGAGCUAAAUCCUCCAUUUUGUUAUCUGCAAAUGGAGAUUCUGAGACCCAGGAAGAGUUCUAUGAGGUUUAAUUAGUGCAAAGUGCUCUCAAUACCAAUAGGUCUUUUUGGUCCAAGGACCUCAGACUGCUUUGGUCCAAGUACUCAAAUUACUGAGGUUUCAGCCAGCGAUCCAAGAGGGAGAUGUACUGCUGUGCUUGCUAUAUGGAAAGAUAAAUAGCAGGGGCUGCAAAGUUACAGUUGCCAGAAUUCACAUAAUAAAUCAAUAAGCAAAGAGAAGAAAAAUUCUGCAUAGCCGCAGAAUUGUUGGAUCCCUACUGUUCUCAUCAAGAUGGUCUUCGCUCUGAUAGCUUUCAGAGAGAGGAGACCCUCCUUGGCUUUUGUGCACGCAUGUAUUCUGCAAAUGGAGUCCAGAUUCUGGCAGAACAACCCAGGAGUUUCCCGUGCUGCUCACAGGAGGGCUGCUCAGAUCACACUGCUGCGUGGAACGCACAGUAUGCAUCAAAACGUUGUUGGCAACACUAAGUCAACCAGACAGCUCGUGCUCUGGAUGAGAAGCGAAUUUUCUUGAUGCUGUUUGGUGCCUUAGGGGCUGUACCAAAGAGAUGGGACUGAACCUUCUGUCAGGUGUAAGGCCUGAGGAUGGAGAAGACAGACUUAGCCAUGUCUCAGAGCUCACUCCUAGUCCUCCUGUCACACACAAUGGGGAGUCCUUACACAUUGGGAAGAGUAGAAGCAGGAAAGCAGCAUGCCUUUGUCCUCCCUGUUCCCUUUUUCUAUCAGGUUCCAGCUGCCAAUACUGAAUUGCUGGAGCCAUGUCUCCUGACCCUGAGAUUUCAUGACGGCAGCAGCAGAACUGCAAGAAGCACGUGGCUAACAGCUCUGGACAUUUUUGCUUUGCUGCUCCACAUUCACACUGGCAUUUUGCUUGCAGCCACCCAUCAGAUGAAGCCUGUGUCACUGGGAGCAGUGAUGUCCAGGCAGGAGAAAUGCUGAGUUUUGCCAUCUUAUAUCAAGAUCGUGACUGGCUGCUGUUCAAAGCUGUAGCAGUAAAUGGAGCUUCUGUUGACAAAUGUGUAUGGACAGAGCCGGGCCAAGAAUGACUUAUUCUUACUUAACUCACUUCCAGAAGGGUGUGGACAUCGUGCUAUGUGAAAAUCAUUUGGAAGGCCAUUAGAGGAGUUUUGCAGCAUAGUGUGAAAUAGGUUACGUUAAGUCACCUCCCCUGGGAAUUCAAAUGAAGAUCCUUUGCUUUGUAAAAGUCAGCAGCAUUUUUGUGGUUGUUUACUCGUAUCUCAGAGCAGUGAUAACAGACAAUCCUUGCCUUAACCUUUUCAUUACUUCCAGUCUGUUCAGGGAGGAAGGACGGUCUGGGACGGUGGCGUUGCUUUUAUCUGCGAUCUGCCCGUGACUCAUUUUGUUCAUCACAUGGUAACAAAAUCAAGCAGUGAUGUCAGGAAUGAUAGAAAAGUGAUUGUUGCGGAAUCAAUCCCCUCUAGCAAGUGGCAGAAGACAAAAUAAAUGAGUGUAGCACUGAGGCAUGAGUCAGAGAUGGAAACAGGACAACAAGCCCUCUAAAAGCUUCUUCUGAGCUGUCACUGUCCAAACCACGCUGACAGGAUGCUUCAUGGGAAUCGUCACUGCCUUGGCUAGAAGAACUCGCUGAGGCAGGAGGGAUUGCUGGGCCCGAACCAGGGCUCAGUGGGCAAAUGGAGAGCUGGAAACUGUGGCAAUCUUUUCCAGUUCCUUCUUUCCCUGACAGCUGAACUAACACUUGUCACAGGAGUGCAAAGUAGGCAAUUACAGCAAGCGUGGAUGCCACAGGGCUGGGUGGGCUCGCUAUUUAUAGCUUCCUACUGAGGGAGUUUUCCCACUGUGCCACUCUGCACACAGGGUAAGGUACAGUCCAUGCCUUGAAGGGCUCACAGUCCAGAUAAAAUUAGAAAAAGGAAGGAGAAGCAGCCUCUUGUGAUGAGAGCCAAGACUCAGGAGAUGAAAGGACAAAAAGGAAAUUCACAGCGGAGCCUGGAACAAUGAACUCCAACUUCUCCCCAGCAAUCUGCCCUUCCUCUGGUUAACUCUUCCCUGCCUCAAGUCCGACCUCUCUGCUACUCAUCGUAAUUAGUGCCAGUUUGAUACGUCAGGAAGAGGAGUUUUUCCAAGUUCUGACCUGUCUUCCCACUGUUAAAUUAUUUUCCCUCUGGCAGACGUGGUGAAGGGACGUGCACGCAGCCUGUAUUCCCUCCUGGUUCUGUGCUUCCAUCCCAAUGAAAGAAGGAUGGGAAGAGUCCGGACUGCUCAAGGAAUGAUAAACUCCCUGGAGAGCAGCAGGCCAUCAGCUUCAAGAAUUCACCGCCUCAGACAGCUGUGGAUGUGAGUCAAAGAUAGACGUCCUCCUUUGUUUCAUGUGAGGAUUAGAACAGGAGCUGUUUGUAAGUUGAGCUCUGCAGUAUCUUCUCAGCAAUUGGAAAUGUGGUCACAACAAAGAGAAAACCUUUGCAAAUCUAAUUUCUUUGUACUAAUCUAGUACUUGAGGUUGGAGACCAUCCACUGGCCUACUUACAGCCAGGCAUUUGAAAUGCUGCAUUGCAAUCCUGCCCCUGUUGUCACGCAGUAAAAUACAGAGAAGAGUCACUUGACUUACAGCAUCAAAUACAGAGAAAACGAGAUACCUGUCUGGAAAGGAACCACUUAACACAGUGGUGAAGAAGUCUUGCUUCUACUUGUACUGUUAGUGCUGAGAGGCAAUAAAAAUCAUAUUGUAGAAGCUGGUAAACUUUUUAAUAGUGAUUUUAAUGGAAAUAACUUACAGAAAAUGGUGUAAUGAUGCUAAUGAGUAUUGGCUUGUUUAAGAUCUUUUACUUUCACACUACAUACACUUAGGUGUAAAUCCACCUGACUUCCCUUGCUGGAUGUAGUUUUCAGCUCCGAGGCUGAUGCUCUCACACGAGUGAACCCCUCGGUGUUGCUGACUUUUGGUCGAGUGGUUCGACCACUUGCAUUAAACACGAUGCAACAUAUGAAAAUGCAACUGAAUGUCGGGAUGCAGUGCAAUGAAAAUGCUGAUUCCAUCUGAUGGGUCAGUGAGAGAGAAAGGAGGGAUUUGCCCUGGGUAAGAGCACAUGGAAAUGCACAGAAAUGAACGCCAAGCCCCAGGUCUCUCAGCCUUUCCUUGUAAGAGACUUGCCCCUUGCCCCUGAUCAACUUCGGGGCCUUCCACUGGGCUCCCUCUAGAAGUUCCCUAUCACGUCAGCAAGACUCUGUGUACCACACAUUUCUCACCAACAAGGACAGAAAGGUUAAAUCCUUGGUUGACAGGUUAACAGCAUGAUUUGCAGCAACAGCUUAAAUAAAUGGUUGCAGGCACAAACGAGUAGCAGGCAGCUAAUCCUUUAAAGGCUUAAGUGCAGCUACUACUGCAGUCCAAGUAAAUAUUUCAAAAUAAAAUUAAUUAGUGGUGACUGGUGGAUUUCCUUCUUUGUUUUGCAAGCCCAGGCUUAAAUGGUGACUCCUCCACAGAAUUUAUGCUUUCGAUGCCAAAACUGCCAUUUUGCAGGUGGCUUCUCAAAGACAAUGAGUUGCAGUGUUGUUCCUUGCAGUAACUGUAGCAGAACUGGAAAAGUUACAGAUGAAUCUUGUAGGUCCCUGUUCCCAUCAGAGGCAUCAAGGGCUCAGUGUCGAACAAAAGUACAGCGUAGAGGAAAGGUUUGCUUCCUGAUUCUUGCCAUAAGUAAGCUCUGCCCAGCCACAGAAAUAAUGGCCUUAAUAAUGGCCUUACUUCCAAUUAAAAGAUUUUUCUUUACACCUUCAUAGACAGAGGUCAAAGCAGGAAGGCGAAAACCUCAACAUAACCUGUACCCAACCAGCACAAAACACAGCCUGAGACUGGAGAAGAAAAACACUCAAGCAAAAGCAGCAAAAGGUCAAUGAAAUCAUUUGAAAACAAUCAUUUACAAUCCACAAUCAACCCUUUUUUUUCCCAAGAUUUUUUUCCUUUUACCUUGACCUUUGACUCCAUCUCAGAACAAAGCCAAUUUUCUCGUGAGGGAGGAAUCUCUCGUGGUCCACUGAACUGUCUGGACUAUUUUUAGUUAAACACAGCAUUCCUAAAAAUCUCAAGCUGCUUGUGUAUUAAGGAGGGAGCAAGGAAGCCCUGUGACCACACACCAUUUCACACGGCAAGCAAGAACACAGCAUGCCAGAUGGGGCUGAAUGCAGAGCUCUAGGAGAAAGAGCAGUGUGCCUGCAGUUUUCAGUAGAUAAAGGAAGGGGAAAAUGGACAGCGUGCACUUACCCACUAAAAUGAUGAGCUGCAGCUCCAGAGCACAGCAAUGGGAAAUCUGCCCAGUUCUGCCAGAGAGGCAGAAGUCAAGGAGAUUUGGAGAUCUGGAGAUGGGGAGAUCUUGCUGGGAGGAGCAGGACAGAUGCCCAAAGGGAAGGGUGAGGAGAAAGCUUAUGGUAGCAACUCAGGGAGAGGCAGAAGAUGUGAGAAGUGGUUGUAUGAAUGAGCUGAUGUCAGGGACAUUUAAGGACUGAGCAUGAGGGGGAGGAGUGGGGGAAACUCGUUUAGACCUCAGCGUAAGUGGAGUAUAGCACAUAUCUGAUUAGAUGGGACAGAACUGCGGUGCCGAGUCAUUUCUUCCUGCCCUGCAGGGUUUUCAUGUCUUCUUUUAUGCUAAGCAAAAUCCAUAUCGCCAUAAAAGUAGCAUUAUAGCACUGAGCCUCUCUGUUGCUGAAUUUGGCUAACUGCAGAUGGCAGAAGAGAAGCAGACCCCAACCACAGGGUCUAAUCUGAGUGAUGGGUACCAGAAAAGCACUCAAGAUGCCAUUGUCAAUUGUGAUGUUUGAACAAAUAAAACACUCAUUUUAAGGCUAUAUUUGGAGCGCAUUGGCUGUAUCUAACAUGCUCCAAGUGAGUCAUCACUUUCUCUCUCCCUCAUCUCCACAGAUGUUUCACACAAUUUCUGCUAAUAUAUUUUCAGGACUAGGAUCGGUGACAACCACUCCUCUCUGCAGAUAGUCCUCAGCCCUCAACCAGCACAGCAUCCAGGCAGGCCUCGAGGAUCAGCUUAUCAAUGAGGACAUAAAAUCACUGCUGAGAGAAGAGAAUCAAGGUGAACCCAACAAGGAGGAACAAGAAACCCAAGCUCCCACUUUUCUCCAUCACUGUAGAACCAGCGGUGAGCCCUGCUCUUCUUCCCAUCCCACGAACCUCCCCUACAGGACAAACACAUGGAGAAGCUCAGAGAGGUCAAUCAGCAACAGUGCCAUGAAACACACAAUAUAGUGCAAGGAAAACUGCUGCUCAGGGCACUGCACCCUGUUUCCCAGGAUGUUCCCUGUACAGCUGAGCAGAGAACCAUUUGCAUAAGGCUUUGGAUAACUGUAGCUUUUCCUAUUGCCCCUUUCCACUGCUGAGCACCUCUCUGUCUCCUGUCUUUGCCAUUUGAUACAAACAGCCCCUUGCAGACAAGGCUUCGCUGCAGGAUUUCAAGCUUGGGGCUUGUAGAUAAUGUCUGCAGCUACUCAGAUAGUCUUCACUGCUACCCAAACUGACCAAAGAAGUUGUGGAUGCCCCAUCUUUGAGGUGCUCAAAGCCAGGUUGGAUGGGGCCACGGGCAACCUGACCUGGUGUUUUGACUGCUUGAGGGACAUUUCCUCUGAUGUGAUGACGCUCAGGAAUUUGCAUUAAGCUGUGCUCACUCCAGACACUUAAAUAAAAAUAAUGAGAUUGAUCGAAAAGGAGUCUUUGCUUUUAUAAAGAAUACAUUUGGUGCAAUUUCUUUGUGACUUCUUUGCAGCUCAGGCCUCCAGGAGACUCUAGAGUCAAACAGUCAUAAAUACACCACACCACAGCAACAGAACAGCACUGAGGAUAUAAUGCAGGUGCUCAUAAAAUAGAGAAAAGCCUUAACUCUGGGUGCUUGUUCUUACUGCAGUUCUUGUGUGUAACAAUACCCCACUGAGCCAUAUAAAUGCCAACUAUUUUUAUCUAAGACAGCUGCCUUGCCCAGAAUGGAUGAUGCUCAAUAUAGGAGACAGCAAUUUGGUAUUAUCCUCAUCCAUCAGUGCUCAGCCUGUGCCUUGCUCAUUGGUCAAGCUCUGCUCUAGAACCAGAAACUUCUCCACAGUAAUGAGGCUGCUGUCAUAUCCCAGCACUCAGGCACCAGAACAACAGCAUAUGAGAACAGCCUCAUCUAGAGGGAGAACUCUGCUGCCCUCAUGCAAUGCUUGAACAAAAACAUGAGCUGACAGCACCGGCUAUCCUCAAAGCUACACCAGAGGAGCAUCACUGCUAUAUGAAAGAACCGUGCUCAUCAUGGAAACAAAUGCUUGCAGUAAUUCUUCCAGAUUUUCCAAAAUGUAAAGUCAGCUUGUUUUCUGAGAAAAAAAAUGAACAGCAGGUAUUACUGCACUGCAGCCAGACCACAGAAGUUUGAGCAUAAGGAAGUUUAUAAUCUGGAGGAAAGCCAUGCUUAGAAUACAAUAUGUGAACACACAGAAUGAGGUAGUCAGGACCUACAUUUUUUUGAGUAGUAAAUACACCUUUUUCCUCAUAAAUAGACAUAAAAUAUCCCCAUGCAGAGGAAAUAUUCCAUGUGUCCCUCCCUCAUACAGACCGCCCCGAAAGGGACUGAUAUAUUUGCACUGUGCUUCUGUUAAAUGACAAAUAAACUGCCAUCUCUCCAGAGAAGUCAGCAUGCUCCCUCCGUUCCCCAACCCUCUCUAGCAGCCCCAGGCUUCCCAACUUCCUGCUGCCCCUCAGCUCCCCUCUGCUCCUUCUUUUCCAUAUAAACUUCCCUUCCCCUUCCUCUCCCGUCUCCCCAAACCAAACAAACUCACAUUCUUAUCCCCUUAUAAAGGCUGAUUCAUGGCUUUGCGUCAGCAGCAGCGUUUCUGGCCAGACCCAGCUUUAACUGAGGGAUUUCAGCUGCUGUUAAGUGGUGGUGACAUCUGGGAAGCUGGGCUGCCAUCGGGAGCACGAGACUGGUGGUGGCCAAGGCCGACAUGACGCAGCAGAGCAGGGGACAUGCGUAGCUGUUGCCUUGGGAGGAGGGAAGGGAAAAGGGAGAUCCUGGAUUCUAUCAGUUGUUCCUCGGAGCAUGCCAGCAGGGCACGCACAGGCCAAUGAAUCGAGUCAACUCGGGGAAGAGACGGAGUUUAAAAAAAACACAACCUCGGCUCAGGCUCUGGGUUUGAUCUAGAGCACUGGAGGAAGAAUGGCAAAGUGAGGGAGGAAAAAGUGAAUCUUGGCCUUCCAAAUCACAAGUGGCCCUGGGUUGAAAGAGACCUGAAGGAUUAUCUAGAUCCAACCCUCUGCCUGAGUUGCCACCCACCAUUUCAGGCUGCCCAGAGCCCCAUCCAACCUGGCCUUGGG